UCCAGCAGUAGUCAGCUGUUCAGGCAUCUGCUGUGCCUGUAAUGGUGUUACACUGCUGGGACAGUGACCUGCUGUGGUCUGGCUCCAGGGGGCGCUGUUAUAGCACCCCUCAGAGUUCAGGCUGAGGCGGGAGAGCCCUCUGAGCUAGGACAGAGUCUGAUUUACUGUGGCUCAGCCCUUGACAAGAGGCCUCACAGC
ensembl:snoRNA SNORA74 Small nucleolar RNA SNORA74